rnacentral:misc_RNA from 1 species
AGGGCGGGCAGAGGCGGACUACCGUCCACGUUGGUGAAUCUGUGUCUUGGGAUAGACCGGUCGAGGAUAUGCGGUUGUCGGUGGCGAUAAGAGUGGCCCGCCUGGCGGAACGAGAGUGCUGCGCUGACGCUUCAUAUUCCUGUGGACACACCCGCAUGAUAACAAUACGCGUUCAAGUAUAGAAUGCCGUGAAUCGCAAAGCUCCGUAUAUACUUUGUUCAUACAAGAGCGUAUACGUAAUGUAGCCGGAAAUCUGUAUACGCUGUAACAAGGGGAAACGUAUCGGUACGAAGGAGAAACAACUCAAAUAACUAAAUGCUACAGAGUAGAGUGU